GCUUGUCUCAAAGAUUAAGCCAUGCAUGUCUAAGUACAAGCCUCAGUAAGGUGAAACCGCGAAUGGCUCAUUAAAUCACACCUAAUCUACUGGAAAGUUACUAGUUACUUGGAUAACUGAGGUAAUUCUUGAGCUAAUACAUGCGAAAAAUCUCGACUCACGGAGAGAUGCUUUUAUUAGAUCAAAACCAAACGGCUUCGGCCGUCUCAUUGGUGACUCUGAAUAACUUUUCGAAUCGCAUGGCUUCACGCCGGCGAUAGUUCAUUCAAAUUUCUGCCCUAUCAGCUUUCGACGGUAGUGUAGUGGACUACCGUGGCGUUAACGGGUAACGGAGAAUUAGGGUUCGAUUCCGGAGAGGGAGCCUGAGAAACGGCUACCACAUCCAAGGAAGGCAGCAGG
rnacentral:rRNA from 1 species